AUGGACAUGAAAUUCCAGAUCCCCAGAGCUGGAGGGGCUCACAGAGGGUUUGUGCUCGAGGCUGUGUCACAGUGUGCUGUGUUCGGCGGCGGGACCCAGCUGACCGUCCUCGGUCAGCCCACAUCGGCACCCUCGGUCACGCUCUUCCCGCCCUCCUCUGAGGAACUCGCCGCCAGCAAGGCCACCCUGGUGUGCCUCAUCAGUGACUUCUACCCCAGCGGCGUGACGGUGGCCUGGAAGGCAGACGGCAGCCCCGUCACCCAGGGCGUGGAGACCACCAAGCCCUCCAGACAGAGCAACAACAAGUACGCGGCCAGCAGCUACCUGAGCCUGUCGCCUGACAAGUGGCAAUCUCACAGCAGCUUCAGCUGCCUGGUCACGCACGACGGCAAAACCGUGGAGAAGAAGGUGGUCCCCUCACAGUGCUCUUAGGUCCCCGACACCCUCCCCCACCCAGCAGGGCCUGGAGCCACAGGACCUCCAGGACGAUCUUCCCUCCCCCCAGGGUCAUCCCAGCCCCUCUCCCUGCACCCCGUCAACACUCAAUAAAGUGUCCUUUAUUCAAUCAGAAA